UCGAGUUGGAGGAUGGUGUUGGUGGUAAUGCAGCUGAGCCAUCUCUUUGUUUUUCUCAAGAGGAAUUGGGGAUAAGGAUCAAUGCGUAAUUGUAACAAAAUGUUAUUAAACCCAAAUAAAAACCAUGCUCUUGAAUACAGGACACAAAUCCAAACAUAAACUUGGAAAAACUACAAGAACAAAAGAAAAAUAAGCUCGAGGAGAGAUAAAAAAGGCAAUAUUCAUAUAAGGAUGGUUUUGUAUAAGGCUGAGGCCAAAUCAAAGUAAG
rnacentral:lncRNA from 1 species